CUGUACAACCAACAAGGAAGCAGCAAGUGGUUUCUGGAUGUGCAGAAAGUGUGAGCGCUGCUGCAGCCAAGCCCCCCUCCCUUCCUCUUCAUCGCUCGGCGUUACAUAACGGUCUCCACUGCAGAGGAAGAGCACUGCAGAGAAACUCUCGGGUCUCCAGCUCCUCAGAGGACAUCACGUGUCCACGUUACAUGAAGGGCCUGGGGACGCGUCUCCGUCCCCCAAGGCAAGCCGCGUCCCCACAAAGGGCUUCUGAAUGCGUUUUUGAGGAAAACUGAUGCGCACUCAUACAUGCUGAGGGAAGAAUUUUAAACGGGCUUUUACUAAAUGUUCAAAGAGAGCCAGCCGUCAAACCACUUCGGUCCGUUUGUUGGAUCCGAUUGUGUGGCUUUAAAAAAACUGAAUAAACUGGAAAAGGGAAGGAGAAAAAGUAACAUGUCAACAUGUCAAACUAAAAAAAAACUAACUACAG